rfam:Gossypium raimondii Chr05_contig_1355, whole genome shotgun sequence.
UUAAUUACCUGGACGGGGUCGAUGGGUUAUCAACCAGGUUCAUCGCCUAGGUAAGUAACUUCCAUUGCACUUGGAAAUGGCGCUUGUCUAAGGUCUCCUCAAAGUAGGAGAGCCUACGUCAUAAUUUGUGGUAGUGGAGGUCUGCGUCCGCACGGCCCCUG